rnacentral:rRNA from 1 species
AACGAACGCUGGCGGCAGGCCUAACACAUGCAAGUCGAACGCUCCGCAAGGGGAGUGGCGCACGGGUGAGUAACACGUGGGAACCUACCUUCUGGUACGGAACAACCAAGGGAAACUUUGGCUAAGACCGUAUACGACCUCCGGGUGAAAGAUUGAUCGCCGGAAGAGGGGCCCGCGUCCGAUUAGGUAGUUGGUGAGGUAACGGCUCACCAAGCCUUCAAUCGGUAGCUGGUCUGAGAGGAUGACCAGCCACACUGGACUGAGACACGGCCCAGACUCCUACGGGAGGCAGCAGUGGGGAAUAUUGGACAAUGGGCGCAAGCCUGAUCCAGCCAUGCCGCGUGAGUGAUGAAGGCCUCGGUUGUAAG